GAUGAACGCUAGCUACAGGCUUAACACAUGCGAGUCGCGGGGCAGCAUGGGGGUUGCUUGCACUCCCUGAUGGCGACCGGCGCACGGGUGAGUAACGCGUAUCCAACCUGCCCUUCACCACGGGAUAACCCGGCGAAAGUCGGACUAAUACCGUAUGUUGUCCAUUGACGGCAUCCGAUUUGGACGAAAGGCUUAGCGGUGAGGGAUGGGGAUGCGUCCGAUUAGCUUGACGGCGGGGUAACGGCCCACCGUGGCUACGAUCGGUAGGGGUUCUGAGAGGAAGGUCCCCCACACUGGAACUGAGACACGGUCCAGACUCCUACGGGAGGCAGCAGUGAGGAAUAUUGGUCAAUGGGCGUAAGCCUGAACCAGCCAAGUAGCGUGCAGGAGGACGGCCCUAUGGGUUGUAAACUGCUUUUAUGCGGGGAUAAAGGGACCCACGUGUGGGUUUUUGCAGGUACCGCAUGAAUAAGGACCGGCUAAUUCCGUG
rnacentral:rRNA from 1 species